rnacentral:rRNA from 1 species
UACCAGCACCCCGAGUGGUCGGGACGAUUAUUGGGCCUAAAGCAUCCGUAGCCGGUCCUGCAAGUCUUCCGUUAAAUCCAGCUGCUCAACAGAUGGGCUGCGGGAGAUACUACAGGGCUAGGAGGCGGGAGAGGCAAGCGGUACUUUAUGGGUAGGGGUAAAAUCCGCUGAUCCAUAGAAGACCACCAGUGGCGAAGGCGGCUUGCCAGAACGCCGCUCGACGGUGAGGGAUGAAAGCUGGGGGAGCAAACCGGG